rnacentral:rRNA from 1 species
CAGCCGCCACGGUAAUACGUAGGGUGCGAGCGUUAAUCGGAAUUACUGGGCGUAAAGCGUGCGCGGGCGGUUUUGUAAGACAGGCGUGAAAUCCCCGGGCUCAACCUGGGAAUGGCGCUUGUGACUGCAAAGCUAGAGUGCGGCAGAGGGGGAUGGAAUUCCGCGUGUAGCAGUGAAAUGCGUAGAUAUGCGGAGGAACACCGAUGGCGAAGGCAAUCCCCUGGGCCUGCACUGACGCUCAUACACGAAAGCGUGGGGAGCAAACAGGAUUAGAUACCCCGGUAGUCCCUGUCUCUUAUAA